AUGUAUCCACCAGGCAAGGCAGUUGGGAUGGCAGCUGCCCAUGAUGGUUAUGGGGCGUCAGGCAGGGUGUUAGUGCCCCGUUUCUAGGAAGUAGUAGGUCACGUUCUCUAUUGAGUCUUUUAUAUUCCAGUGAAUAGAGUCUGAAAAAGCUGUUCGUUGUUCACAGCACCAAAUCAGAGUGUCUCCACUUGUGUUUGUGUGUGUGCGCGAUUUUCUCUGCAACCUGCAGGGUGAGCUCGCCGGCAACAGGAGGUUGUUUCUCCGGCGAGGUCUGACACGUGGUAUCGGAGCCGAGGUUGGAGGAAGGUGACAAUGUCCCUGCCGCCGGAGCGCUCUAGGACGCCGCAGUACCGGCGAGGGCGUUCACCGCCGCGACGGACGCGGACUCGCGAGGUCGUCGUCGAGCGCGUUGUGGAGCGCGUCGUGGCGCCUGGAACGACCACUUAUCCGACUCUCACGAAGACGAACUACAACGAUUGGGCGUUACUGAUGAAGGUGAAGAUGCAAGCGCGCGGGUUAUGGGAAGCUGUGGAGAUCGGCGACGUCGACGACCAUCACGAUCGGAUGGCGCUCGACGUCAUCUGCAGCGCCGCGCCGUCGGAGAUGGUCUCCACCUUGGCCGUCAAACCGACGGCAAAGGAUGCCUGGGAAGCUCUGAAGACGCUGCGAAUCGGCGACGAACGCGUGAGGAAAUCGACGGCACAGAGGCUACGUCGCGAGUACGAGAUGCUCUCGUUCCGAGACAGCGAGUCGGUGGAGGCAUUCGCACUUCGGCUCACCGACGUCGUCGCGCAGCUCGCCAUGCUUGGUGACCCGGAGUCUCCAGAGAAGGUGGUGGAGAAGUAUCUUCGGAUCGCGCGUCCAAGGUACAAGCAGCUAAGCAGCUAGUAAUUUCUAUCGAGACUCUAUUGGAUGUCUCGACCCUCACGGUGGAGGACAUCACCGGCCGGCUGAAAGCGGCCGAGGAUGCUGACGAUGCACCACCACCUUCGACGGGGGGUAAACUGUACCUAACGGAGGAGCAGUGGGAGGCGCGGCGGAAGGAGCAGCAGAAGGGAGGAGACGCUGGCACGUCUAAAUCCGGUGACCGGCGGCGGCAUCCACGUCGCGGCGUGCCUGCGUCGAGCGGCAGAACAGGCACGGGACCCGGCCGCAAGCUAGGCCGUGACCAGUGCAGGAAGUGUGGGCAAACCGGCCACUGGGCUCGUGAUUGCAAGGCAAGGCCCAAGCAAGAGGCGGCCCACAUGGCCCAGGAGGAGGAGGCGCUCAUGCUGUUGAGGACCGCACCACUGCGUCGAUCCCCGCCAGCAAGGUCCGCGACUCCACCGCCGCCGGGAGGAUCCGCGACUCCACCGCCGCCGGGAGGAUCCGCGCCUCCACCUCUGCCCCCACCGGCCGGAUCCGCGCCUCCUCCACUGCCCCCACCGGCCGGAUCCGCGCCUCCACCACCGCCGGCGGGAUCCGCCACUGCGCCGCCACCGGUGUCUCCAGCCCCGUCGCGCACCUCAUCCCCGUCGAGCCCCUACUCUCCACCUCCGCAUGAUGAGGUCCUCGGCGCGCCCAGUGCAGUGGCGAGCUGUUCAUCGCAGGAGGCCACGGCGGCGAGCUCUGAUGGGCGGAUCCAGCUACAGGAGGGAAAGGUGUUCGUGCAGCUCGGCGCGAAGGAGCAGCGGGACCCUACGUCCUGGAUCUGCGACACCGGGGCCACGAACCACAUGACGGGGUCUCGGGCGGCGUUCGCGGAUCUGGACACGGCGGUGUCUGGGUCGGUGUGGUUCGGCGAUGACUCCAUGGCGGAGAUUGAAGGGCGCGGGACCGUGCUGUUCAAGUGCAAGAAUGGCGAGCAUCGCUCUUUCACCGGCGUUUACUACAUCCCGCGACUCACGGCGAAUAUCGUGAGCCUCGGCCAGUUGGAGGAGGCCGACUACGACGUCCACCUCCGGCGCGGUGGCAUGGAGAUUCGGGAGCCUGAGGGGCGACUGCUGGCAAGGAUCCCACGCGCAGGCAACCGGCUGUAUGUGCUCAACGUCGACGUGGCACGGCCGGUGUGCCUGGCAGCGCGCGGCGAAGAAAGUGCCUGGCGGUGGCAUGCCAGGCUCGGCCACAUCAACAUGCUGGCGCUGAGGAAGAUGGCGCGGGAGGAGCUCGUUCGUGGACUGCCAUCCAUCGAGCAGGUGGACCAACUUUGUGAGGAGAAAAUUGGAAUUCUGCCAUUAUCAAAUCUAGGAUUCGCUCGAAUGCCAUUAUGAGAACGUGCUUCGUUAAUACGCCAUUCUCAAACACUAGCUUACAGACAAAAUGUCAUUUAGGGGGUUAUUUGACAAAAUAUCAAUUGAUCGGACUAUUUUACCCCUAAACCAAAACUGUUGCAACGCUCCACCACGGCGAGCUCCACCGCCGUCAGGGCCUCCGCGAGGGGGACGUCGUGCUCCUCGCUCUGCCGAACUCCAUCGCUAGGGUUCGGGACACCAGCCCCGCCCUCGUGUUCGCCACGCCCGACAACGUCGAGAAGCUAUCGCCGUUGCGCGUCCCGGUCGUCCUCGUCCCCGACGCCUUCCACCUCGUGGGCGACGGCGCCCCCGAGUUCGCGCCCUUCCCCGAGUUGCUGCUGCUCGAUUCCGAGCCACUGUCGGGCCCUUCGGUACGCCAGGACGACGCGGCCGCCAUCCUCUACUCGUCGGGGACGGGCGGCCAGAGCAAGGGCGUCGUGCUCACGCACCGCAACCUCAUCGCCACGGUCGAGCUCUUUGUGCGCUUCGAGGCCUCGCAGUACGCCGCACCUGCUUGUGACAAUGUCUACCUGGCGGCGCUGCCCAUGUUCCACGUCUACGGACUCUCGCUCUUCGCCGUGGGACUUCUCUCGCUCGGUUCCAUGGUGGUCGUCAUGAAGAGGUUCAACGCAGGCGAAGCCGUUAAGGCCAUUCGCAGAUUCAAAGUCACGCACUUCCCGAUCGUUCCGCCCAUCAUGGCGGCGCUGGUGCACACCACCAAGCCAGCGGCAAUGCCGUUGGAAUGCUUGGUGCAAGUGUCAACCGGUGCAGCGCCGUCCAGCCGCAGGCUCAUCGACGAUUUCGUCAAGGCUUUCCCUCACGUCGAUCUCAUUCAGGUUCCUGCCUACCCCACUUACAGUCACGUCAUUCGUUCUUCCCUACCUUGCCCAAGUGUGUGUAUUCCACAUUGGUAUUACAUGCUCGUGAGUGCAGGUGUCGAAAUCAGUGGUACAACGUACAAGGUGCCCGUAUGGGGUGUUUGAGGAGCCGUGGGGAGCCGGCCAACACCAUGGUGGAGCUCGUCGUGGGCUCGCCGUCCAGAGAGCAGAGAGGAGGAGACAGAGAACGAGCGAGAGGAGACAGAAUAAGAAAAGGAGGAUGCAGAGAUGAGAUAGAGAACGCACAAAACAAAAUUGAUUGCAAUAGUUUUGGUUUAGGGGUAAAACAGUCCGAUCAAUUUAUAUUUUGUCAAACAACCCCCUAAAUGGCAUUUUGUCUGUAAGCCAGUGUUUGAGAAUGGCGUAUUAACGAAGCGUGUUCUUAUAAUGGCAUUCAAGCGAAUCCUAAGUUUGAUAAUGGCAGAAUUCCAAUUUUCUCACUUUGUGAGGCGUGUCUCGCCGGCAAGCAGCGACGGACGGCGUUCCCUGACCAGACACAAUGGCGGGCGGACCGCGCACUGGAGCUGGUACACGGGGACUUAUGUGGACCCGUGACACCGGCGACACCGAGCGGGAACACCUACUUCCUGCUUCUCGUCGACGAUCGGAGCCGCUUCAUGUGGCUGACGCUGCUGCGGUCCAAGGAUCGAGCGGCGGCUGCCAUCAAGGAGUUCCAGGUACGUGCAGAAGCUGAGUCCGACUGCAAGCUACUGGCGCUCCGGACGGAUCGUGGUGGCGAGUUCACAUCCAAGGAGUUCAUGGAGUACUGCGCGGCGGACGGCGUGCACCGGCAGCUGACAGCGCCGUAUUCCCCACAACAGAACGGCGUCGUCGAGCGCCGGAACGCCAUGGUGGCAGGCACAGCACGCUGUCUGCUCAAGGCAAAGGGGCUGCCGGCUUGGUUCUGGGGAGAGGCGGUGAACACUGCCGUGUAUCUCCUGAACCGGGUACCGACGAAGGCAGUAGAAGGCAAGACUCCGUUCGAGGCGUGGUACGGGAAGAAGCCGGCGGUACACCACCUGAAGACCUUCGGGUGCAUUGUCUAUGUCAAGAAUACGACACCGCACCUGAAGAAGAUGGAGGAUCGUGGCCGCAAGAUGAUUUUCGUCGGGUACGAGCGCGGGUCUAAGGCAUAUCGAGCCUACGAUCCGGCCACGAAGCGCGUGCACGUGACGCGCGACGUGGUCUUUGAUGAGUCCGCCCAGUGGGACUGGUCGGAGGGAGCUAAGACCGGCACUGGCGCGGAUCAUGGCGGCGACGACACGUUCACCAUCCAAUUUGGGGUGGUGGAGGGGCAAGGAGGUCUCCAGGCGGGGGCACCGGUGGCUGCUAUGCAGCAUAUGACGCCACCAGGAACGCCAGGGGAGGCCGGAGUAGCUUCUCCGGGUGUGCAGUUCGCCACACCACCUGCUGCGUUAGACGAAGACCUGGACGCCGACCACGACGACAACGCACCACUGCGGUUCCGAACAGUGGAGGACGUCACCGGAGCUGCGUCGCCACCUGGGUACGCCGUGCGCGUACUGUACAGCGAGCAACUCUUUGCAGUGAGUGCGGAGGAGCCUGGGUCGCUUGCACAUGCUGGGCAAGACCCAUGCUGGCGACGAGCGAUGGAGGAGGAACUACGCGCCAUAGAGGACAACCACACCUGGACACUCACUGAGUUGCCAUCUGGGCAGCGAGCCAUUGGGCUCAAGUGGGUAUUCAAAGUCAAGAAGGAUGAACACGGUGCUGUGGUACGGCACAAAGCACGGCUCGUCGCAAAAGGCUACGCUCAGCGCCAAGGAAUCGACUACGACGAGGUGUUUGCACCGGUCGCUCGCUUGGAAGCGGUACGGCUGCUGCUGGCGUUGGCGGCGCAGGAGGGAUGGCAAGUCCAUCACAUGGACGUCAAGACAGCGUUCUUGAACGGUGACCUCCAGGAGGAGGUGUAUGUGCAGCAAGCGCCUGGGUUUGCUCAACCUGGACAGGAACACAAGGUAUAUCGACUGCACAAAGCUCUUUAUGGUUUGCAUCAAGCUCCCCGUGCAUGGAAUAAAAAACUGGAUGAACAACUGGGUGUUCUGGGAUUUGUGAGAUGUCCAUCUGAGGCUGCUAUCUACUGCCGUGGAAGAGAUGCGGAGAGACUGGUUGUAGGUGUCUAUGUUGACGAUCUGGUGAUCACAGGCACUAGCAGCAGCAGCAUCAGGAAGUUCAAGACAGAAAUGACUAAGAUUUUUAAGAUGAGUGACCUUGGGUUGCUAUCUUAUUACCUGGGUAUUGAAGUGAGGCAGGAAGAAGCUGGGAUCAGGUUGUCUCAAGGAAGCUAUGCAAGAAAAAUUCUGGAGAAGUGUGGUCUAGAGGACUGCAAUCCCUGCACCGUGCCGAUGCAGCCUAAGCUGAAGUUGAGUAGGGAAAGUGAUAGUUCAAAAAUCAAUGUGACUGAAUACAGAAGCUUGGUAGGGAGCCUGAGAUACCUUGUGAAUACUCGACCUGACUUGGCAUAUUCAGUUGGAUAUGUGAGUAGAUUUAUGGAGGAGCCCCAUAUGGAUCAUCUUGCAGCUGUGAAGCAGAUCCUGAGGUACAUAGCAGGGACAAGAGAUUGGGGCCUGUUCUAUUCAAGGAGAAAUGGAGGGAGUGAUGAGCUCUUGGGCUAUAGUGACAGUGAUAUGGCUGGCGACUUGGAUGGCAGAAAGAGCACAUCUGGGAUCCUUUUCUUUCUUGGGAGGAGUCCAAUCAGCUGGCAAUCAACUAAGCAGAAGGUGGUGGCGCUAUCAAGUUGUGAGGCGGAGUACAUCGCUGCUGCUACUGCUGCAUGUCAAGCUGUUUGGCUGGCACGACUGCUUGCUGAAAUCAGGAACUCAGAGACAAGCAGACCUUUGCUAAGGGUGGACAACAAGUCCACUAUCUCGCUGAUUAAGAAUCCAGUGCAUCACGACCGGUCAAAGCAUAUUGAUACCAGAUUUCAUUUGAUUCGGGAGUAUGAAAAUUCAGGGCAAAUCAAGGUGAAGUUCAUCAGUACUGAAGAACAGCUGGGGGAUAUUCUGACCAAGCCACUCGGCAAAGUCAAGUUCCAGGAACUCUGCACCAAGAUUGGCCUAAGCCUAGUGUAAGUAGAUGCACAAGUCUUAGGAGGAGAAUUGUUAAAAUAAUCCUUGUGCUUUUAGCUGGUGUUUGUUUUAUUUUCUGUUAGCUGAAGUCAGUCGCACGGUCUGUUGUUGGCUGUGCGUGUAGUGGGCUCGGACGUGCGCGUUUUGUUCGCAUGGAGAGCGCGUACUGCGCCAUGUAUCCACCAGGCAAGGCAGUUGGGAUGGCAGCUGCCCAUGAUGGUUAUGGGGCGUCAGGCAGGGUGUUAGUGCCCCGUUUCUAGGAAGUAGUAGGUCACGUUCUCUAUUGAGUCUUUUAUAUUCCAGUGAAUAGAGUCUGAAAAAGCUGUUCGUUGUUCACAGCACCAAAUCAGAGUGUCUCCACUUGUGUUUGUGUGUGUGCGCGAUUUUCUCUGCAACCUGCAGGGUGAGCUCGCCGGCAACAGGAGGUUGUUUCUCCGGCGAGGUCUGACAGUGGUGUUCUGGGUGGCCGACAUGAUAGAGGAGGAGGAAGUGGAGGAAGAAGAAUGCAUAUUAGGGAUUUAGGAAAAUAGCCUUGGCUCUGGUGGCCCAGAGCACGGCAGAGGCUCUCUUGGGGCUGUAUUCCAAUAUUUAUAGAUAGAAGAUUACAUGGAUGCAUGUGCUACAAUCACGGAGGCACAGCCUAAACAGGAAUCAAGGUUUCCAUCUAUCUAUAGAUAGAUAACACCUUUCUAUGUUUAACACACACGCCAUAGCCCUCCGCGCGCGUCAAGCGCGGAGGAGCCAGCAAGCUGGUGGAGGUUUUAAUAAUAGAGAAUCCCCUGAACUACCUACCUGAUGCAUCUCUUUCCUCUCAAAGAAGAAAGAAAGAAAGAAAGAAAGUAGCAGAUCGCUUGUUGCUGCGUUUUUCAGGAGCUCACGACAUUAAUGCGCUGUAAUGUAGGGUGCUCCUCCUGGCCAAAUGGGAGCAAGCUAUCCUCGCAUGUUUCUGGUCCUCCUGCUGCUUCAUGGAGCCAGUGCUGCUUUGAAUCCUCCAACAGCAGGGCCAAAAUGGCAG
rnacentral:lncRNA from 1 species